CGGUUUGAUCGCGGGGGAGGCACUAGUAAUGUCUGCAGUUUUCAGUUUGGCUAUUUGUUUCAAGUGUAUUAGUCUAUAAAUAAAUAUCUUUGCUAAAAUUCGUCAUCUCUCCCAUGUCUCAUUCGACUAGUAGUUGUUCUGAAAUGUUUAUUGCUUGCCUACAUUUAACUCCCUAUAUCUUUAAUACAACACACAUACAUGAAUUAUUAAUUUCGGUUUGUUCUAUAUAAAGUAUUUGACUCUGAUGUGUGCCACAGAAAGUAUUUGACUCUAGCCACAAAAUUAAGGACAUUUGAAGGGGGGAGGGUUUCGGCAAGGCCAUUUUCUUGCCUGCCGAAAUCCACAUUUCAGAACAACUACUAGUCGAAUAAGACAUAGGAGAGAUGACGACUUUUGGCAAAGAGAUUUAUUUAUAGACUAAUACAUUUGAAACAAAUAGCCAACCCGAAAACUGCAGACAUUACUAGUGCCUCCCCCGUGAUCAAACCGCCAUAAAAAAUAUCAAAUGAAACGCAGUCUAACUUAAUCAUUGACAGCUGCCUUGAAGGACACAAAUAAAACAUGCUUUCUGCUAUUAAGACCAGUGAAAUGUAUGCUAAACAACGGAGUGAAGAGCAGAAAUCUCAACUAGCAAACAAGUAUCAGCAAUGAAGAAUUGAGUGUGUGCACGUUCACUCGAAGGGGGGAAGAGAAUUCUGUCAGGGGGGAGAUUUUCGGCACAACACAGGUAUUCCGAAGAUUCCUUAUAUACCCAACGCUGGAGCUCGAAACGUCUUGUGUUUCCAACACUACAAUGCAGAAGAAGUGCUGCUGGGCAGACGUAUGGAGGACUGGCUGAGAUUCUCCGUCUGUUACUGGCACUCCUUCUGUGGGACUGGUGCCGACCCUUUUGGGUUCCAGACACAACACAGACCCUGGAAUGAGGGUGCUACCCCCAUGGAAUGUGCCAAGAAGAGACUCCAUGCAGCCUUUGAGUUCUUCACCAAACUUGGUGUGAAGUACUACACCUUUCAUGACAGGGACAUGUCCCCUGAGGGAAGCACUCUGGAGGAGUCCAACAGCAACCUGGAUGAGAUGACAGACCUGGCCCUGCAGCUACAGAAUAGGACUGGGGUCAAGGUGCUGUGGGUCACCUGCAAUCUGUUUGCUCACUCAAGAGUACAAGGAGAAGAUAGGGUUGAAGUGCCAGUUCCUCAUUGAACCCAAGCCUAAAGAGCCAUGCAAACAUCAAUACGACUAUGAUGCAAUGAGUGUCAUAGGCUUCCUGAAGCAUUAUGACCUGGACAGCCAUUUCAAACUGAACAUCGAACCCAACCACACCACUCUGGCUGGGCAUUCCUAUGAACACGACGUCGUCAUGGCCUCUGUGUUUGGCAUGCUGGGCUCUGUGGACUCCAACACGGGUUCUCCUGACCUGGGCUGGGACACAGACCAGUUCCCCAUGGACAUCAGGAACGGAACACCACCAUGAUAAUGAAGACUGUGAUAGAGCAGGGUGGUCUGCAGCCGGGGGGUCUGAACUUCGAUGCUAAGGUGCGUAGGGAGUCCACAGACCUGGAGGACCUGUUCAUAGCCCACGUCGGAGCCAUGGACGCCUUCGCACGCGGCCUGAGGAACGCAGUCAGGAUCAUAGAGGAAGGAGUUAUCACCAGCAUGGUCAAGGAGCGCUACAUGAGCUUCAGCCAUGGGAUUGGUCAGAAAGUAGAGGAUGGCAGCACCUCAUUGGAGGAGCUGGAGGACUUUGUCAAGCAAAAUGGGGAGCCCAAAGUCACAUCAGGCAAACAGGAGAAAUAUGAAACGGUCUUUAACCACUACCUUUGAAGACAUGUGGUGAAGUCUUGUUUGACCAUGAAAUCCCUUGUCCUGAGUGGUAUAGUGUCCAUCCAGACCUUUCAUAAUAGUAUGCUUAGAGAGUGAUAUAGUUUCACAUGACUAACUAUUAUUACAGUUAUAGUAUAAAGAAUUAAUCAGUGGAGUCUUGUGAAUGUGGACUAUUUUAAUACACACUCCUGUAAUGUUGACAUAUGAUUAGAUUAUGAGGCCAUCAAUGGUAAAGACCAGAAAUAUGAAUUUAAUUUAGUAUAAAUUACAAGGCAUUUCAAAUACUGAAUUAAGGAAUUAACUAAUUGAUCAGUUUUUCAUACUGGAGUUGAAUAAAAAG
ensembl:lncRNA